rnacentral:rRNA from 1 species
ACACGUCUACAUUAGAUACCCCUGUAGUCCCAGCCGUAAACUAUGCGCGUUAGGUGUAUCGGUGACCACGAGUCACCGAGGUGCCGAAGGGAAACCGUGAAACGUGCCGCCUGGGAAGUACGGUCGCAAGGCUGAAACUUAAAGGAAUUGGCGGGGAGCACCACAACGGGUGGAGCCUGCGGUUUAAUUGGACUCAACGCCGGGAAGCUCACCGGAUAGGACAGCAGAAUGAUUGCCGGGCUGAAGACCCUGCAUGACUAGCUG